rnacentral:rRNA from 1 species
AACGAACGCUGGCGGCAGGCUUAACACAUGCAAGUCGAGCGCCCCGCAAGGGGAGCGGCAGACGGGUGAGUAACGCGUGGGAAUCUACCCAUCACUACGGAACAACUCCGGGAAACUGGAGCUAAUACCGUAUACGUCCUUCGGGAGAAAGAUUUAUCGGUGAUGGAUGAGCCCGCGUUGGAUUAGCUAGUUGGUGGGGUAAUGGCCUACCAAGGCGACGAUCCAUAGCUGGUCUGAGAGGAUGAUCAGCCACACUGGGACUGAGACACGGCCCAGACUCCUACGGGAGGCAGCAGUGGGGAAUAUUGGACAAUGGGCGCAGGCCUGAUCCAGCCAUGCCGCGUGAGUGAUGACGGCCCUAGGGUUGUAAAGCUCUUUCGCAGGUGAAGAUAAUGACGGUAACCUGAGAAGAAGCCCCGGCUAACUUCGUGCCAGCCGCCGCAGUAAGAC